rnacentral:rRNA from 1 species
UACGGGGGGAGCAAGCGUUGUUCGGAUUUACUGGGCGUAAAGGGCGCGUAGGCGGUCGUGACAAGUCACUUGUGAAAUCUCCGGGCUUAACUCGGAACGGUCAAGUGAUACUGUCGGACUAGAGUACAGAAGGGGCAACUGGAAUUCUCGGUGUAGCGGUGAAAUGCGUAGAUAUCGAGAGGAACACCAGAGGUGAAGACGGGUUGCUGGGCCGACACUGACGCUGAGGCGCGAAAGCGUGGGGAGCAAACAGG